CCCUGAAGUACAUUUCAUAUUGCUGAAUCAUCUGCCUGCUGAUCAUACUUCCAUGGUACACUACAACGUUAAGGUCAGUCCACGUUCGAAAUUCUCUUUCCCAAUUUGUUAUAGUGGAAAGUGGAGCUAUGAUCAGAAAAGGCCCUCUUAUACCAGACAGGAGGAUUUCAUAGAGGAAUGUAAUUGACUGAAUGGUUUUGCCAAGACCCAUUUCAUCCGCUAAAAUGCAAUUUCGUCUAUUGUACCAGUUGAAGAGAAGCCAGUUAAGUCCUUCCAGUUGAUAUUCCCUGAGCUGAUUGCCAUUUUUAUAUUCCCUCGAGUGUUCUAUCUUCUUCCAUGAGUUUGGAGGUGGUCGAUCCAAUCUCCUUGAGUCAGGCCUGGAAGCUUGCAAUUGUUCAAAUUCUUCUAUUUUUGCUUGAUCUACAUCUUCUUUCAGCUCCCACGUACUGUCUUCGUAUGGCAACGAACACCAUUUUACUAAAUAGUAAACAACAGGCUCACCAGUGUCUUUAUCUUCACAAAGAGAGACUUCUAAUA
rnacentral:lncRNA from 1 species